CCUUUUCUCUGGGAAGAAARWWAUGACGGUACCUGAGSAAUAMSCAUCGGCUAACUCCCUGCCAACWSCCGCGGUAAUACNGAGGAUGCACGCGUUAUCCGGAAUCAUUGGGCGUAGAGCGUCCGCAAGUGGCACUUCAGGUCUGCUGUCAGAGGUCUGGGCUUAACUCCGAAUAGGCUGUGGAAACUGAAGCGCUCGAGUGCGGUUGGGGCAUAGGRAGUUCCUGGUGUAUUGGUGAAGUGCGUAUAGAUUGCGAAGAACUCCGGUAGAAAAUGCGCUCUGCUAGGCCUCUACUGACACUCAAGUACCAAUCCUGGGGGAGCGAAUGGGAUUAGAUACCCCANNNCGUAAACAAUGGAUACUAGUAAGUAGAUGAGUAUUGAGCCCUCCGCUGGUGCUGUAGCUAACGCGGUGAAGUAUCUAGCNNNNNNNNNNNNNNNNNCAAGUGGUGAAACUCAAANGAAUUGACGGUNNNNCGCANNAGCGGUGGAGUAUGUNNUUUAAUUCNNNNCAACGCGAAGACCUUACCAGGGCAUGACAUGCCCGGAAUCUUGGCAGAAACUCAAGAGUGCCUACGGGAACGGGGACACAGGUGAUGCAUGGCAGUCGUCAGCUCAGUGUCGUGAGAUGUUGGGUUAAGUCCCGCAWCGAGCGCAUCCCUCGUUUUUAGUUGCCAGCAUUAAGUUGGGCACUCUAGAAAGAYGGCCGGUGACAAACCGGAGGAAGGUGGGGAUGACGUCAAGUCAGCAUGCCCCUUACUCUCUGGGCUCCACACGUCCUACAAUGCUAUGGACAAAGGGCAGCAAGUAAGCGAUGCCAAGCAAAUCCCAUAAACCAUGGCUCAGUUCAGAUCGCCGGCUGCAACUAGCCUGCGUGAAGGCGGAAUCGCUUGUAAUCGCCGGUCAGCCAUAUGGCGGUGAAUACGUUCCCGGGCCUUGUACACACCGCCCGUCACCCCAUGGAAGGUGGCCACGCCCGAAGUCGUUACCCUAACCGUCGCGGAGGGGGAUGCCGAAGGCAGGGAUGGUGACUGGGGUGAAGUA
rnacentral:rRNA from 1 species